UACGAAGGGGGCAAGCGUUGUUCGGAAUUAUUGGGCGUAAAGGGUGCGUAGGCGGUUUGGUAAGUCUUAUGUGAAAUCUACAGGCUCAACUUGUAGUCUGCAUGAGAAACUGCCGGGCUUGAGUAUGGCAGAGGGGGGUAGAAUUCCACGUGUAGCAGUGAAAUGCGUAGAGAUGUGGAGGAACACCGAUGGCGAAGGCAGCCCGCUGGGAUAACACUGACGCUCAUGCACGAAAGCGUGGGGAGCAAACAGG
rnacentral:rRNA from 1 species